ensembl:lncRNA
AUGAGUGCUGUUAAUGUUGUGCAACUGUUCGUUCUUGUGUUGGUCUUUAACACUGUCUGUCAAGCAGAUGAAGAUUUCUGCAGUGUAAGCUGUGAUAAUGUGACUGGAUCUGUGGGGAGAGAAGCAACUUUCACCUGCAGUGUCUCCCAGCAGUCCGCUAAAUGUUGUAUAAUAAUGUAUGUAUUUCAAUACCCUGAGAGCUAUAAAGACUCAACAGUCUGUAAACAAGAGUUUUAUAUGGACCCCUGUGAAAAGAGAAACAGCUUCACAUGCCGCUACACUCCACCUACAGCAAUGACAGCAAAAUUCAGAUUCUUUGUGCAAACAAUGUGUGCAAUAAAAAGAACUGAAUUCAGCGUCAACAUACCAGGUACCAUAUAUAUAUAUACUGCGUUUUAUAAUUCUUUUCAUUUAUUUUCAGUCUAUUAACAGUGGUUCAAAAUCUGUUAACAGGGGCCAUUAAACCAGAAAUAGUCACUGAGGCUCCUGGCAAGAAAGGUAUUAUAUUCUAUAUUCUAAUAAUUGAUUAUUGAGAACUGAGUUUAUAAUCUGUUUAGAAACCCCACUGCACCAGAGAGAGAGAGAGAGAGAAAAAAAAAACUUUUGUUUAUAUCACAUUAUAAUUAUUAAUUAUUCUUCCAGAUAGAAAACUGCUCUUGAGUUUCUUAUCAGAAUAGCCAUAACUUUAAAUCACCUAAAAAUAUGUCUUUUUGGCAUUUAAGAAUGAAACUGUUGUAUGAUUGUCUAUGGAUAAGGGUGUUUUUAGAGACUGUGCAGAUACAGUAUGUAGAUACACUGUGUGUCAAAAAAUCAGUUUUAUCACAUUCUCAACAGAAGAAUCAUAUCGUGAUGUAUCUGUGGAGAAUCUCACUGUUUAUGAUUUAAACAGUUUAAAUUUAACCCACUUUUCCAGAAAAAUUCAACAAGAACAUAUCAAAAACAUCUCAACGAGAGACAGCAGAAAAAGGUCUGACUUUUAAGGGAUGUCUUCAUUAAUUAUUUUGCAUUUGCAAAGUAAUAAGAGCUUAUUCAUUACUGUUACUGGUAUAUUCUGGACUGUGUCUUAUUUUAAAAAGUAAUGAAAUGAAUAAAGACUUGUGAUACUCUAAAGAAGUUUCCCUU